GACGAACGCUGGCGGCGUGCUUAACACAUGCAAGUCGAACGGAAAGGCCCCCUUGUGGGGUACUCGAGUGGCGAACGGGUGAGUAACACGUGAGUAACCUACCCUUUACUUUGGGAUAACUUCAGGAAACUGGGGCUAAUACCGGAUAGGAGCUCCUGCUGCAUGGUGGGGGUUGGAAAGUUUCGGCGGUUGGGGAUGGACUCGCGGCUUAUCAGCUUGUUGGUGGGGUAGUGGCUCACCAAGGCUUUGACGGGUAGCCGGCCUGAGAGGGUGACCGGCCACAUUGGGACUGAGAUACGGCCCAGACUCCUACGGGAGGCAGCAGUGGGGAAUAUUGCACAAUGGGCGGAAGCCUGAUGCAGCAACGCCGCGUGCGGGAUGACGGCCUUCGGGUUGUAAACCGCUUUCGCCUGGGACGAAGCGUGAGUGACGGUAAUGGGUAAAGAAGCACCGGCUAACUACG
rnacentral:rRNA from 1 species